rnacentral:lncRNA from 1 species
GACAUCAUGGAGGGUUCGGCUGACAUAAUAUAUGAGCUUCUAAACUUUCUCUUGCUCUAGUAUUAGGAUGGCACUCACAAUAAUUAGUGAGACAGCUAAAUAUAAAUAAAGCUCUUCACCCUUUCUUGGCUUGCUAAGGAGUGGGGGAGAACUCAAGUAGCUUUUCAGCUCCUCGAAGGCAUGGCUACAUUCCUCCAUCCAUUGGAAGUUCCUAAGUUGUCUUAAAAUUUUGAAGAAUGGAAGGCACUGUUUGGCUGAUCUGAAGAUAAAUUGGUUUAGGGCUGCUACUCGUUCGGUAAGAUGCUGAACCUCCUUCAUGGUCUUCAGGGGGUUCAUAUCCUGGAUGGCUUUAAUCUUCUCCAAAUUUUUACACCUCGAUUGAUACUAGAGAUUUCAUAAAUUUUUCUGAUGUCACUCCAAAGGCGCACUUCGUUGGGUUCAGUU